CACUUCCCUCGCCUGAAUUUCUUGAUUGUUUCUUAUUUUCUUUUUCAUCCAUCUUUGGUUUUUAACACAUUUUAUUACUGUGAACAUGCAUUGGAUUCAUUGUAGACCCGGACCUUUGUGUUGAUAAGGAUUCUGUUUGUGGUUCAGAUUUAAAGAAGACGAUAUGGAAAUUUUCACUGGUCGUGCAAAAAUCAAGGAGAAAGGAACGAGGGCGAGGGAAAAACAGAGAGAGAGAUCGACAAAGACUCUCCAUUUUCUCAUAAUUCCUUCAAGCGUUUGUCCACCAUUCACUAAAUUCAUUUCCUUCUGUUUUCAUGUGUGAUUGUUGAUUAUUUCAAUUCUUUCUUCAUUAGUCAUAUAUAUAUAUAUAUGUAUUGUAGUGAUUUUUCUGCUUCCUUUAUAUGAUGCUUUGAAGUUUGAACUAAACUCUUACUAGGUUUAUGCUUUGGUUUUGAUUUCCCUCUUUUUAGUAUAUAACUAGGGCUUCUUUUGGGCAAUCAAUUUUUCUGAUCUUCAUUCUUUUCAGUAUCUAAUUGGGUUUAUUUACUUUUUUGGAGUAAUUAGUAACUUUUCUGAUCUUCAUUCUUUACAGGUAUGUUUUUUCUUUCAUCAACUCCUCUACAAAUUGUUGAGUUCUUGAAUGACUUCCAUUAUUGUUUACAGAUUUACGAAGGAUUGGACUUUGAAAAAUCACUACAAGCUCUGCAAAUUUUUGUGGUGAUACUAUUCGUUGGUGGAAAGACGUUUUGAUGGUUCGGCGUUUGUCAAGUAUGACAACGCUCAAAUGCUUUAUUUUAUAGGCAUGAUUGUUAUUCAACCGGUUGUUGAAUUUGCUCUUCAAUUGGUACCCAUUUGUAGUACAUAUGUUUUUAUGCAUGCACAAAUGUGGAGGGGACAUGACCAACAUAAGCAUGUCACCUUUCAUUGAUAAGAUCGAGUAGACAGAACCAUCCCAGAUACACUGGUGAAAACAAAUAUUACUUAUAUUCCGACAAACGCAGCAAUUCAGCCUAAUAGUGCACUGGGGGUAGACGGGCACCAAAAUAACACACCAGUCCAACCACAAAGAACCAUAGGCAUGUCUUGUUUUCAUCACUCCAUACGAUCAAUACUGGAGCAUCACAUCACUAAUAGUUGAGCACCGCGGACCUAGUGGUCCAAUUCCUCCUAUUGGUCGCUCUCGAUCUAUCACCAUGGCUCCCAACGGUGCAGAUCUUGCAACACGGCUUCCAGCCUUGCUGAUCUUGCCCUACGA